rnacentral:rRNA from 1 species
AACGUAGGAGACAAGCGUUAUCCGGAGUUACUGGGCGUAAAGGGCGUGUAGGUGGUUUUGUAAGUCUGGCGUGAAAUUUUUCGGCUUAACCGGGAAAGGUCGUCGGAUACUGCAAGGCUAGAGGACGGUAGAGGCGUGUGGAAUUCCGGGUGUAGUGGUGAAAUGCGUAGAGAUCCGGAGGAACACCAGUGGCGAAGGCGACACGCUGGGCCGUACCUGACACUGAUGCGCGACAGCAUGGGGAGCAAACAGG